AAGCGUUACGGCUCUUUUGCAAUUUCUAUAGCAGGCUCUGCGGGGUUCGCCGGAAAGCCCCC
ensembl:snRNA U7 U7 small nuclear RNA